rnacentral:rRNA from 1 species
UACGUAGGGCGCAAGCGUUAUCCGGAAUUAUUGGGCGUAAAGAGCUCGUAGGCGGUUUGUCGCGUCUGCCGUGAAAGUCCGGGGCUCAACUCCGGAUCUGCGGUGGGUACGGGCAGACUAGAGUGAUGUAGGGGAGACUGGAAUUCCUGGUGUAGCGGUGAAAUGCGCAGAUAUCAGGAGGAACACCAAUGGCGAAGGCAGCUCUCUGGGACGGUACUGACGCUGAGGAGCGAAAGCGUGGGGAGCGAACAGG